UGGCUCAGGACGAGCGCUGGCGGCGUGCUUAACACAUGCAAGUCGAACGAUGACGAUGGUGCUUGCACCGUCUGAUUAGUGGCGAACGGGUGAGUAACACGUGAGUAACCUGCCCUCCUCUUCGGGAUAACCGCCGGAAACGGUGGCUAAUACCGGAUAUGAAUGCCUGUCGCAUGGUGGGUGUUGGAAAGAUUUAUCGGUGGGGGAUGGACUCGCGGCCUAUCAGUUUGUUGGUGAGGUAAUGGCUCACCAAGGCGAUGACGGGUAGCCGGCCUGAGAGGGCGACCGGCCACACUGGGACUGAGACACGGCCCAGACUCCUACGGGAGGCAGCAGUGGGGAAUAUUGCACAAUGGGCGAAAGCCUGAUGCAGCGACGCCGCGUGGGGGAUGACGGCCUUCGGGUUGUAAACCUCUUUCAGCAGGGAAGAAGCGAGAGUGACGGUACCUGCAGAAGAAGCGCCGGCUAACUACGUGCCAGCCGCCGC
rnacentral:rRNA from 1 species